AUGAGCGACAGUGCAGCCGCCGAAACGGCUCCUCCAGCCUCCGCCAGAACUAAACCCAAGACUCCCAAGAAGAAGGCGGCGGCCCCCAGGAAAAAACCAGCCGGUCCCGGGCUGGGCGAGCGGAUUGUGAAGAUUGUCGGGGAGAACAGCGAUCGGAAGGGGACGUCUCUGGCCGCUAUAAAGAAGGCGCUGCAGAGAAGCGGGGUCAAUGUGGAGAAGCAGAAUGCACAGAUCAGGAUGGCUACCAAGAGGUUCCUGGCGAAAGGCUCCCUGGUUCUGGUGAAGGGCCAGGGCAUCUCCGGCUCCUUCAAACUCCCAAAGAAUCAGGUCAAGGCAAAAGUGGGAAAGAAGGCGAGACCCGCAGCAGCCGCCAAGAAAGCAGCCGUGAAGAAAACAACGGCCAAGAAGGUGGCAGCGAAGAAAUCCCCAGCCAAGAAAGCAACAGGAAAGAAAGCGGCCGCCAAGAAGGCAGCAACGCCAAAGAAAGCGGCGAAGAAAGCAGCGCCUCAGAAAAAGACUCCCGUGAAGAAGGUGAAAAAGACCAAGAGCCCCAAGGCCUCAAAACCGGCCCCGAAAUCGGCAAAAUACUUGAAGAAACCAGUUGAUGCAAUAUUUCCUUGGUACAAAGCCGAGUGUGCGCAGUUGCUUCCAACUAACAGCAGGCAUGUUCCUGUGAUCAGAAUGGAGAAUAUCUUUCCCAUAGUCAGAGCGGAUUGAAUCAGACUUACAUUGAGCUCAAUUUCCGGAGACUUGACCAAGGAAACAACCACCCAAUCCCAACUGAGAAAAGUACAACACCGUGCUCAGUGGCAUCAUCAGUGGAGCCUCCAAUGAGUCAAUGUCAUUCCACUCUUGAGUUGAAUUUAUACUGUUAUGGUCCAUUAUGGUGAGUACUGUCAUUUCUGGUUUUGAUCUGAGUUUUCGUAUAUGGGGACCGAUUCUAUGUGCUUGUUGAUUGAAGACUGGUUGGAAAACCAUGCCUCGAGGAAUUCCUGUGUGUGUCUGUGUUUGGCUUGGGCUACCAUGGUUACUUUGUCCCCAUAUUGACCUGAUGGCCUUUAUUGUCUGAGUAUGUGAUACAUUCAGACAACGAAGGCCAUCAGUUGAACUGGGACAAAGUAACCAAAUAAAACCAAAGAACUGUGGAUGCUGUAAAUCAGGAGCAAAAAGCAAAGUCUGCAGCUCAGCCGUAACUGGUUCCGAGGACACAUCACUGAACCCGAAAGGCGAACUGUUUUUCCCUUCACUGAUGCUGCCUUACCUGCUGAGCUUAUCCAGCACCUUUUUGUUUUUGUUGGAUAAAGAAACCGUAGCAGCCUAAGCCUAACAAACAUGUACAGGAAUUCCUAGAUGGUUCUCCACACAAACACAGAAUUGGAUCCCAUGUAUGACCCUAUGUAUAAACCCAUACAAAUGAAAACUGAAAUAGCAGUACUCAGCAUAACAGGCCUGACAGUGUAAAUUCCAAGCAGAGGAGAAUAAUGUUGCAUCAUCAGAGGCUCCACUGAUGAUGUCACCUAGCAUGGUGGCAAAACGUGUGAACAAAAACAAGCCAGCUCGGUGACCAAGUCAAUAAUGUCACAUUUUGGCAUUCAUAGCCUGUUGGCGUUUACGUCAUUUUUUUGACGAUGGAGAGACUGAACACUCAUCCAAAAUAUACAGUCAGGAGCUGAAUCUAUUCUGCAUUAAAUCAUUCUAAUAACAGCUACCACAUAACAAAUUGCACCCUCACAGAGAAUGUUACUGGCUGCCAAAGUUCAGCCACAUUGACAAAUAGAAACUGACAAGCGUGUGUUGCUACCUCUGCUCGAUCAUUCACCCUGUAGAAACAGGCAAAAAUACAGAUUGACGCUCGCAUAUUGAUGUACAGUUUGCUA